UCGAGGAUCAUUCGCAAUGGGCGAAAGCCUGACGAUGCGACGCUGUGUGAACGAUGAAGGCCUUCGGGUUGUAAAGUUCUUUCGCCUGGGGACAAGAGAAGAGUGUUAAUAGCACUCUAAUUUGAGGGUACUAGGUAAAGAAGCACCGGCUAACUCCGUGCCAGCAGCUGCGGUAAUACGGAGGGUGCAAGCAUUAAUCGGAAUUAUUGGGCGUAAAGGGCGCGUAGGCGGAUUUGCAAGUCAGAUGUGAAAUUCCAAGGCUCAACCUUGGAGCUGCAUCUGAAACUGCAAACCUGGAGGGCUGGCGGAGAAAAUGGAAUUCCACGUGUAGCGGUGAAAUGCGUAGAUAUGUGGAGGAACACCUGUGGCGAAAGCGGUUUUCUAGCUAGUUCCUGACGCUGAGGCGCGAGAGCAAGGGGAGCAAACAGGAUUAGAUACCCCUGUAGUCC
rnacentral:rRNA from 1 species